GCUCAGGCCGGGCGACCUCGGUUCCCGCCACGGCUUGCCCGCCCCACGCCUCGCGGCAGCCAGAGAGAAGAAAGGGGUGGAUCUGCAGAGGUUACCCAGCGAGGACUCCAACAGGUUCUGCCACCUCCCGCGUCUCAGCCAAGCUGCAGCCAGGGGCGCGAUGGGCAGCCCGGCAGCCCCGGCGCUCCGAGGCUCAGCUCUCCGGGACUGCUCAGGCUUUGCGCAAUUGCUGGCGGGCAAAGCCAGGUCGCUGGGUUUCUUUAAGCUCUCGUUUCCUCUUACAUGGGGGCUCCGAAAGCAAGCGCCCCGAAUCCUCGAACCCUGUCAGAGCCUUGAGCAGUGCCACCUGCGGGUGACUCGCCACUAUCGCUGGCCAGUCCUUCUGGAUACUGGCGAGAAUCAGUCAGUCAGUCGACAAUCAUUUGUUAAGCGCUGACUCUGGGCCAGGCAAUGUGCUAGGCGCAGGGAAUACCAAGAAAGGCAAAACCAGUGUUCACACUCUGUGAUGGUAAAGUCGGAAGGAAACUGAGAAAUCAGCCAGUGCGACCCUUUUGGUUUCCAGAGGAGGAAUGUGAGAUUCUGAAAACUUCUAGUGAUUUGCUCAGCAGAAUUGGCACUAGAACCUUCACUUCCUCUGAGGUGAGAAAAGUGAAGCUCCCUAAAAACUGUCCAUGAAGCUCAGUAAUUGCAAAAUCAGGACUGAAGUCAAAGUUCCGGCUCCAGAGCAGGCUUCUGUGGGAGAUCGGGAGAGGAGACAUGGGGAGAGAAGAGGGAGCUGGAAAUGGAGAGAGAGAAGAGCAGCAAAACUUCACUGAGGUGGAGGGAAGACACCUGAAUUAAUAAAAAAAAAAUCUGAAUUG